AUACUUACCUGAACGGGUCAAUGGGUGAUCAAAAGGGCCCAUGGCCUAGACUUGCGACCUCCACUGCAUUAGGGACGGGUGCUUAACAUCUCCGCAAGUGGGAGAGUGUACGUCAUUAUUUGUGGCAGUGGGGAUACGCGUUCGCGUGGCCACUGU
rnacentral:snRNA from 1 species